rnacentral:ncRNA from 1 species
CACUGAUAAUGGCAAAACUACGCGAAAGCUAGUGACGCAAAGCUACAGGGCCUGUAAAAUGGCAGCCAGUUUCCAAA